CACUUGGUCCAUCGAGUACCGCUGUAUAGUCUAACAGCACCGUCGCGGGUUAUACCUGGACCAAUGGGAGGCUACCUGCUUAGUGCGUCGCCCGGACAAUGAUCUCCAGGGUGAAGAGGCCUACUCAGAGCAUUAUUCUAUCACUGAGCGGGACAUUGUCGACGCAGCCAUGCAAGAUGCUUCAUGGCGUGCACUUUUGCAGUAUUGUUCGUUGUUCAGCGGGGUAGCUAACGACCUCAACCUAAAGUACUACCCCCGUCGUUCGACCGGCAGUACCGGAGGUGUGAUUGUCUCACCAGUUGGUGAGGGAAUCGUAGAUUGAGUAGCAUGGUCAACCUGGUCGCCGUGCUCAACACCGAGCUGGACCACACCCUUGACGAAUUAAGCAAGGCUCGGGUGGAGAUUGCGGAACUGCAUGCUGAGCGCGCGGAGCGCCGCCAUCAGGAGGAUGGUUCCCCCGCUCCUGUCGGGACUCAGCACCCUUACCGCUCGCCGCCCUGUGGUCAUCAUGCUUAUGGCACCUAUUAGGGGCUUCCUCUUCCAAAGGUCCUUAAAAAUAUGACUAACCAUUUGCUUUUAGCAUAAUAUUGAUUAUUACAGGGAGCUUCAGUUCAUGAUGGAAGUUUUCUCCCCUGUCGAAGGUCUUCAAGACAAAGGUAUAGCCUGAGAAUGACAAUAAUGAACGGCGAAGUUAUGGUCAAAGAGUAAUAACUUCGGUUUAAAGCGGUGACAAAGAUCAAGCAUAAUGCUGAGCCGAAGAGGAAAAGACUAGCUAAUCCCUAGUGAUUUAGGCUACAGUUAUGAACAAGCAUUAAGGUCAUAAAUGUAUUUUUACCCGAGCUGCAUCCCGUGCCUAUAAAUAGGUGAACAGUACCACCGUACUAUUCUCGCUAGAUUGUAAUCGCUCUCGCAUCAUCACCUUCGAGCAAGCCAAAGGUAUCAAUGUAAUAGGAAUUUUAUUCAUAUGUUUAUCAUGAAAUAAAUAUUUGAAUUGAUACAUGAAUAGAUAACGUUUAUGAUAUAUUCCUGAAUUGUUAUUCUCUCGAAUGACGAAGAUAUGUCCUUCAAGACCUUCGUCUGAGAGCCAUUGUAUCCAAAAGGAGAUGGUGUUUCGGAGGACGAAGGUCUUUAAUCUCUAACAAUUGUGUUGUCUUGUUCUUGAUCCAUAGUAUUUAAGAAGUAAACAACAUUGGCACCCACCUCCGGUGCACUCGAACGACCACCUUCGGCAACAUCUCAAGCAUUCACCUCUAUGGUCCAAAAUCUAUUCACGAAGGGGUAUGUCCACUUUUAAUCACAGAUGCCCAUCAUGUGAUGGACGACACCCCCACCAUUUUCAACCUCCCGCCGCUUACCCACUCACCACGCUAGCCAGCCCAGGACGACCGAGGCCAUCUUGGUGCACUGCCCGGCCACAACCACCAUGCGAGCCCUAGCAUAUCCAUGGCCGCACGAACUGGGGACGGGAAAAGCGACAACAUAGCGGGAGAUACCCUUACCGAUGAUGAGGCCUUGACGACAUUAAUCCCGACGACGAACCGCAAGCACCGGCAUGCCCCAGCUCCACAACCCAUUAUCCUUCUUAUUUCCUCCUCUCUCUCUCUGUUACCCGCCACUUGCCUUGCUCGCGCAUGGUGACUAUUUGCCCAGCGGCUCCCGGUUUUAUAGAGGCAAGGGCGGGAUCCGCCAUGGUGGUCGGUUGAGGAGGACCCGUGCAUAUUUUUAGGAGGGUUGGUUCGUCGAGAUGGUGCUUGACAAUGGUGGACGACAGGGGCAAAGAGAGGUG
rnacentral:lncRNA from 1 species